UGCUUACCAAUGAUGGUGAAAAAAAAAAUGUCUGAACAAAUGAACUAAAAUGAUAUCAGAAUUUUCUCUGAGGUAAGCA
rnacentral:snoRNA from 1 species